ACGGAAGGCAGCAGUGGGGAAUAUUGGGCAAUGGGCGAAAGCCUGACCCAGCAACGCCGCGUGAAGGAAGAAGGUCUUCGGAUUGUAAACUUCUUUUAUGAGGGACGAAGGACGUGACGGUACCUCAUGAAUAAGCCACGGCUAACUACGUGCCAGCAGCCGCGGUAAUACGUAGGUGGCAAGCGUUGUCCGGAUUUACUGGGUGUAAAGGGCGUGUAGCCGGGGGAGCAAGUCAGAUGUGAAAUCUAUGGGCUUAACCCAUAAACUGCAUUUGAAACUGUUCUUCUUGAGUGCUGGAGGGGCAAUCGGAAUUCCUUGUGUAGCGGUGAAAUGCGUAGAUAUAAGGAGGAACACCAGUGGCGAAGGCGGAUUGCUGGACAGUAACUGACGGUGAGGCGCGAAAGUGUGGGGAGCAAACAGGAUUAGAUACCCUGGUA
rnacentral:rRNA from 1 species